rnacentral:rRNA from 1 species
UACGAAAGGUGCAAGCGUUACUCGGAAUUACUGGGCGUAAAGCGCGCGUAGGCGGUCUUGUAUGUCGAUUGUGAAAGCCCAGGGCUCAACCUUGGAAUAGCAGUUGAAACUGCAAGACUUGAAUACUGGAGAGGGUGGGGGAAUACCUAGUGGAGAAGUGAAAUUCGUAGAGAUUAGGUGGAACACCAGAGGCGAAGGCGCCUGCCUGGCCAAGUAUUGACGCUGAGGCGCGAAAGUGCGGGGAGCAAACAGG